UUUUCAGAGAUGAGAAUGUGCCUUCGGGAACCGUGAGACAGGUGCUGCAUGGCUGUCGUCAGCUCGUGUUGUGAAAUGUUGGGUUAAGUCCCGCAACGAGCGCAACCCUUAUCCUUUGUUGCCAGCGGUCCGGCCGGGAACUCAAAGGAGACUGCCAGUGAUAAACUGGAGGAAGGUGGGGAUGACGUCAAGUCAUCAUGGCCCUUACGACCAGGGCUACACACGUGCUACAAUGGCGCAUACAAAGAGAAGCGACCUCGCGAGAGCAAGCGGACCUCAUAAAGUGCGUCGUAGUCCGGAUUGGAGUCUGCAACUCGACUCCAUGAAGUCGGAAUCGCUAGUAAUCGUGGAUCAGAAUGCCACGGUGAAUACGUUCCCGGGCCUUGUACACACC
rnacentral:rRNA from 1 species